AACGAACGCUGGCGGCAGGCUUAACACAUGCAAGUCGAACGGGUGCAGCAAUGCAUCAGUGGCAGACGGGUGAGUAACACGUGGGAACCUUCCUAGGGGUACGGAACAACUCAGGGAAACUUGAGCUAAUACCGUAUACGUCCGUAAGGAGAAAGAUUCAUCGCCCCUAGACGGGCCCGCGUCGGAUUAGGUAGUUGGUGGGGUAACGGCCUACCAAGCCUACGAUCCGUAGCUGAUCUGAGAGGAUGAUCAGCCACACUGGGACUGAGACACGGCCCAGACUCCUACGGGAGGCAGCAGUGGGGAAUCUUGGACAAUGGGCGCAAGCCUGAUCCAGCCAUGCCGCGUGAGUGAAGAAGGCCUUAGGGUUGUAAAGCUCUUUUACCAGGGACGAUAAUGACGGUACCUGGAGAAUAAGCCCCGGCAAACUUCGU
rnacentral:rRNA from 1 species